rnacentral:rRNA from 1 species
GACGGAGGGUGCAAGCGUUGUUCGGAUUGACUGGGCGUAAAGGGCGUGUAGGCGGUUGGUCAAGUCUGAUGUGAAAGCCCGGGGCUCAGCCCCGGAAGGGCAUCGGAAACUAGCCAGCUGGAGCGCGAUAGAGGAGGGUGGAAUUCCUGGUGUAGCGGUGAAAUGCGUAGAUAUCAGGAGGAACACCGGCGGCGAAGGCGGCCCUCUGGAUCGUUGCUGACGCUGAGACGCGAAGGCGUGGGGAGCAAACAGG